GAAAUGGCACUCUUAUCAGGUUUUGUUCAGUACAAAAAAAUGUGUUCCAAUUUUCACGGCUUCAAACCCUAAAUACAUCUACUUUAGAGCUUCUCAACUGGCCUAAUAAUUCUAAUAGAGGAAGUGCAUGUUGAACAGAUGUGGAGGUCUUCAUUGACCAGAGAGAGGGAGGACCCUUACCAAAAAAGAUUGCCAUUAGAGUGCAGUAUAACUGCAGUUUGCUGCAAAGACUGUGUCCAAAAUUACUGCCGUCAUUUGGCAGUUUAACUGCAGUAUAACUGAGGUUCAACUGCAGUAUAACUGAGGUUCAACUGCAGUAUAACUGAGGUUCAACUGCAGUAUAACUGAGGUUCAACUGCAGUAUAACUGAGGUUCAACUGCAGUAUAACUGAGGUUCAACUGCAGUACACUGCAGUUAUUCUGUAAUUACUGCAUCCAAAAUACCACAGUUGACUGACUGGUUACUGCACUUUUACGGCAGUUUCAAAACGGCAACCUUUUUUUUGUAAGGAGAGGAGUAACCAAUGUUACAAAGAACUGUGAAACAGACACAUAACAGUGUUACCAAGUUGUAAGCAGAGCCAUAUAUAUUAUAACAUACAUAGAUUUCAACAGGGCUCUGGCUCUAAUGAUCUGUUAUGUAAGGGAUAAUCAACCAGAGGCUAUGGGUUCUAUGGAAAAUAAUGAACGAUGUGGAAGGUGUGUUCCAGCUGACUUUCCACUUUUCCAGUAUGCAUAGAGCCCCAAGUUGAUUAUCC
ensembl:lncRNA